UUUAAGCAUCACCUGCCAUGGACCUGCACAUGUUACAAGUUGAAUGACGGACAUGAAAUAAUAUUAAAAAAUGAAGUGGGGUAAUCAGGAACAUAUUGAUAAUGAUGAAAUCAGAGAUCAACUGUAACCACCCAGUAUUUACUAGUAGGACCAUCAGGGUGGAAUGCAUCUGGACAAUCAUGGGGAUUCUUUUUGUUUCCCCCAAGUCCAAGGGCUAGCCACUAGCCUACAAACUCAACGAAAAUAUGAGCUUUUUCUUUUUGUUCAAUGGCUGUGGUUUUGGUUAGUUGUUGACUUGUGCCCAAUGAUGGCCAGUGCUUAAUGUUUGUGAUUAGUAGCAGUGACUGGUUGUAACUUUUAAGGUCUGUCCCUUGCUUUCUUUUCUCCAGCCACCUGAAUAUAAGGGCUAGCCUAUAAAUUGAAAAGAGAAAAAAAAAAGAAGAAUUUAAAAUGAUGUUAUUCCUUUUUCAUCAUCACCUAAACUAUAUUACUUAAAACCUUGGCAUCCUAAAAGCAUCUGUUGCUUGGCCUGCCAUCAAAAGCAUGGACUCAGAGAUGCUUUAGUUACCACCACUCAUCGGCUAUAUAUGUAUAGGAUAUUGCUUACAUUUUCAGAAUUGAGGUAAUAAACAUUUGAUAACUUUUGGGGAGAAUCUGCUCUGGUGCAGAAAACACAUACUGCAAAAUGUAUUAUGUUUUUGUUAUAAUUGCAUGCUGCAAAAUAUACUUGCACUUUCAAACAGUAAGCAAAAUGGAUUUAAUUCACACAUGUAGAAUGUAUAUGUGCAUCUAAAAGGAAUAAUAAACUAUCUAUUCAAGAUUGGUAUUCACCAAAUUAAUGUGCCUGAUCUAAAUAGUGAGAGUAUUCACUGACAUGAACAGAAGUUGGCAUGCAAAACAGCUGGGCCAGGACAGUAGUCCAUAAUCCACAGCCUUAUUCCAAGUUAUACACACCAAGUUUCAACUAUAG
rnacentral:misc_RNA from 1 species